GACGAACGCUGGCGGCGUGCUUAACACAUGCAAGUCGAACGGUGAAGCGCCUUCCUUUUUGGUGGGUGUGGAUGAGUGGCGAACGGGUGAGUAACACGUGAGUAACCUGCCCCCUUCUUCUGGAUAACCGCAUGAAAGUGUGGCUAAUACGGGAUAUUCUGGGUCUGUCGCAUGAUGGGUCUGGGAAAGAUAUUGUUUCGGUGGGGGAUGGGCUCGCGACCUAUCAGCUUGUUGGUGGGGUGAUGGCCUACCAAGGCGGUGACGGGUAGCCGGCCUGAGAGGGUGGACGGUCACACUGGGACUGAGACACGGCCCAGACUCCUACGGGAGGCAGCAGUGGGGAAUAUUGCACAAUGGGCGCAAGCCUGAUGCAGCGACGCCGCGUGAGGGAUGGAGGCCUUCGGGUUGUGAAACUCUUUCGCCAGUGAAGCAGGCCUGCCUCGUUUGUGGGUGGGUUGACGGUAGCUGGAUAAGAAGCGCCGGCUAACUACGU
rnacentral:rRNA from 1 species